GCCUCAGUGGCCUAGCCCGGCAUAGCGGCUGAUUUGUAAUCAGCAGGUCGCGAGUUCAAAUCUCGCCUGAGGCUUCA
rnacentral:tRNA from 1 species